rnacentral:rRNA from 1 species
UUGAUUGUGAUAGCUAUUGCACCACAUGUGUUUUUCUUUGAAACAAACUUGCUUUGGCGGUGGGCCCAGCCUGCCGCCAGAGGUCUAAACUUACAACCAAUUUUUUAUCAACUUGUCACACCAGAUUAUUACUAAUAGUCAAAACUUUCAACAACGGAUCUCUUGGUUCUCGCAUCGAUGAAGAACGCAGCGAAAUGCGAUACGUAAUAUGAAUUGCAGAUAUUCGUGAAUCAUCGAAUCUUUGAACGCACAUUGCGCCCUCUGGUAUUCCGGAGGGCAUGCCUGUUUGAGCGUCGUUUCUCCCUCAAACCGCUGGGUUUGGUGUUGAGCAAUACGACUUGGGUUUGCUUGAAAGACGGUAGUGGUAAGGCGGGAUCGCUUUGACAAUGGCUUAGGUCUAACCAAAAACAUUGCUUGCGGCGGUAACGUCUACCACGUAUAUCUUCAAACUUUGACCUCAAAUCAGGUAGGACUACCCGCUGAACUUAAGCAUAUCAAAAA